rnacentral:rRNA from 1 species
UACGUAGGGGGCUAGCGUUGUUCGGAUUCAUUGGGCGUAAAGGGUGCGUAGGCGGCGCGGUAAGUCGGGUGUGAAAUCUCGGGGCUUAACUCCGAAACUGCAUUCGAUACUGCCGUGCUUGAGGACUGGAGAGGAGACUGGAAUUUACGGUGUAGCGGUGAAAUGCGUAGAUAUCGUAAGGAAGACCAGUGGCGAAGGCGGGUCUCUGGACAGUUCCUGACGCUGAGGCACGAAGGUCAGGGAGCAAACGGG